UAUGUUAUGUGUUUGUAUUUUUAAUAAUGUGUUGUUGUAUGUAUAAUAUUACUUGUUAGUGGUGAAGUGAGUUUCUGAUGUAAAACAUAUUGAAUUUCAAUAACUUUGUCUUUAGACAUUUGUUGAUUCUAAGAUUAACGGCGUCAAAAUUGUAUUUUAAUUUUUCACAUUUUUCACAUAACUCUUUUUAGGUGUUUUUGCACUAUCUCCCAUCUUUUGACCUUGACCCAUCACCAUCUAAGUAUUUCGUUUACCUCUACG
rnacentral:lncRNA from 1 species